UGGGGGAUAUUGCACAAUGGGGGAAACCCUGAUGCAGCAACGCCGCGUGAAGGAAGAAGGUCUUCGGAUUGUAAACUUUUGUCCUUGGUGAAGAUAAUGACGGUAGCCAAGGAGGAAGCUCCGGCUAACUACGUGCCAGCAGCCGCGGUAAUACGUAGGUGGCAAGCGUUAUCCGGAAUUACUGGGUGUAAAGGGAGCGCAGGCGGGAUAGCAAGUCAGCUGUGAAAACUAUGGGCUCAACCCAUAAACUGCAGUUGAAACUGUUAUUCUUGAGUGGAGUAGAGGCAAGCGGAAUUCCGAGUGUAGCGGUGAAAUGCGUAGAUAUUCGGAGGAACACCAGUGGCGAAGGCGGCUUGCUGGGCUCUAACUGACGCUGAGGCUCGAAAGUGUGGGGAGCAAAC
rnacentral:rRNA from 1 species